AAUGCUUACGUUCUUUUAUUUCUCACCCCCCCCCCCUUUUUUUUUUCAACCCAAAUUGACCUGGAUCACAAAGUUACAAAGUAGAUUGAAACAAAGAGUCAAAGAAAACAUGUUGGGCUAGAAUAGUUGUUUUGUUUUUUCCUUUUCAAAUAAUUGAUUGUUUGUUAAAAAAAAAAAAUUGAAUAUUUUUUUUAAAGAUUUUUGCCAAUUAUAUCUAGGGACAGUGUUAUAUGUAAGAACUCAGGGUCAUCAUGCUUCUAUGUAUAUUUAAGAUAAUUUUAUUGAUUCAAACAAAUGGAAAUUCAGUUUGAAUGCUAUUAUAUAUACUGUAUAAUUAAUUUUAGACAGGCUAGUGAAGGACUGGAUAUUAACAAAAACUUGUAUUAAAAAACAUAACAUUUUAUUGAAAAUAAAAUUUUUAUUGCUGUUUGCAAUCAUUUGCUGGUUGUUGUUUUUAUUUGAAAGUAUACAUUUCCUGUCCUAAGAAUUGGGCCAAUGGACAGAAAUAAAAGUUGCUUUAGACAUGAUCUUUCAUGGGGACAAGAAAUAAAAAAAGAUACAAGUUUAUGACCACAGCUGCAACUUUUGUGACAAGUUAUGUUUAGUACAAACCACUUAUGCUUCAACAGUACAUUGUUUCCACAAGCAAUUUCUCGACAUCUACAUAAGAUAAAAUCUUGUUUUUCUGCUCACAUGUGUACACAUACCAAGAAUAUUUUUAAUUUCUACACUUUUGUAAUGAUUUUUUUUUUAUUGGUUUUAUGAUUAAAGUUUGUAAAACAACCAUUUCUUUUUAUAAAUACCAUACUAUGUUUCUCAUUUGCAAUACAAUUGUAUAUUACCAUUCUUUGUUUUAUGUUCUGCUGAAAGACGUCAUUUUAUUUUGCUAAAUAUAAAUAAUGUUACAAAAGUCUUUUUGUUUUUUUAGUGUAUUUCUUUUUGGCUUUGUAAUCUUACCUACCAGUAACAUAUUGUAUUUGAUUCUAUCUGUUCUGCUUUGUUUUGGAUUAGUGUUUACCUCUAUUAAAACAGUGUGCCUUUCAACUGAGUUUGUCAUUCCUGUGUAAUGCAGCCUGAAACUGAGAUUAUUGUAUUGCCAGUAGGACAAGUUUUAUAGAAAAAAAAAAACUAGAACUAAUCUAAAAAAAAAGGUGUACGCCACAAUCUACAGAUCAUUUUGAGCAUAAUAAAGAAUAUGGUCUACAUAAAAUCAUCAUUCCUUUCAUAGAUUAUUAUAACCACUUCAUUCUAAAAACAAGACCUUGUGUUUACAAAAUAUGAUAAUAAAUUUCUGAAAUCUGAUAAGUAUUGCAGUGUCAUUCAGACAACUAAUGCUACUUUAACGUACACCAAGAUUUAAUAAGAGUAUUUUUAUUCAGACUGCAAUUAAUUGUGUCAACUAUCCUUUUGAAAUAGUCAAAAUGUAAGUUUAAGCAUCAUGCAUUGCCAACUCUUCGUGUCCAAUGUAGCCAAUUUAUAAUACUGUUUGUCCAAUGUAGCCAAUUUAUAAUACUGUU